AGGACGAACGCUGGCGGCGUGCUUAACACAUGCAAGUGGAGCGACGAACCAGGGCUUGCCCUGGGGCAGAGCCGCGAACGGGUGAGUAACACGUGGGUUACCUGCCUCGAUGACCGGGACAACCCGAGGAAACUCGGGCUAAUACCGGAUGUGCCCGCAAGGGGAAAGGAAGCUUCGGCCUCCGCAUUGAGAUGGGCCCGCGGCCCAUUAGCUUGUUGGUGAGGUAACGGCUCACCAAGGCUUCGAUGGGUAGCUGGUCUGAGAGGACGAUCAGCCACACUGGGACUGAGACACGGCCCAGACUCCUACGGGAGGCAGCAGUGGGGAAUCUUGCGCAAUGCGCGAAAGCGUGACGCAGCAACGCCGCGUGGGGGAAGAAGGCUUUCGGUUGUAAACCCUUUCAGUUGGGACGAAGCUUCUCCGGUGAAUAACCGGAUGGAGUGACGGUACCUUCACAAGAAGCACCGGCUAACUACGCGCCAGCAGCCGCGU
rnacentral:rRNA from 1 species